rnacentral:rRNA from 1 species
UGAACUUAAGCAUAUCAAUAAGCGGAGGAAAAGAAACCAACAGGGAUUGCCUCAGUAACGGCGAGUGAAGCGGCAACAGCUCAAAUUUGAAAUCUGACCCCUUCGGGGCCCGAGUUGUAAUUUGUAGAGGAUGCUUCGGGUGCGGCGCCGGUCUAAGUUCCUUGGAACAGGACGUCAUAGAGGGUGAGAAUCCCGUAUGCGACCGGCGGUCAACCCCAUGUGAAGCCCCUUCGACGAGUCGAGUUGUUUGGGAAUGCAGCUCAAAAUGGGUGGUAAAUUUCAUCUAAAGCUAAAUACCGGCCAGAGACCGAUAGCGCACAAGUAGAGUGAUCGAAAGAUGAAAAGCACUUUGGAAAGAGAGUCAAACAGUACGUGAAAUUGUUGAAAGGGAAGCGCUUGCAACCAGACCUGCCCCCGGGCGAUCAGCCGUUAUUUUUAGCGGUGCACUCGUCCGCGAUCAGGCCAGCAUCGGUUCGGGCGGCCGGAUAAAGGCCUCGGGAAUGUAGCUCCCCCCGGGGAGUCUUAUAGCCCGAGGUGCAAUGCGGCCAGCCCGGACCGAGGACCGCGCUUCGGCUAGGAUGCUGGCGUAAUGGUUGUAAGCGACCCGUCUUGAAACACGGACC